ACUGCCUCUAGAGGCAUUGCAGGUGUGGCUGCUGUGUCACAGGUGUGUCAGUAGAUGGCAGAGAGGAGAGAGGCCAUGUCUGUGCUCAGCAUUCUGACCUACGAACAUCUGAAUGAUUGGUAGCCUAACAUU